rnacentral:lncRNA from 1 species
UUGAACAAGGUCACAAGGCUGGUUAAAGUAGGGAAAAUAAAUGAAAUAUUUUACAGUUCAUGGCAUAAGAAUACGCCAGUUUCAGGCAUGUAGAUGAUGAUGAUGGUGGUGGUGGAGAUAAUGAUAAUGAUGAUGACAGGAACUGAAGGGCACAAUUAAGGCCUUAAAGAUCUCCUGGAUGUGGUCACUGUAACCUGUCAAGGCAUGACCUGGAAUCUUUUACAGCAUGGCUUCUCUCCUAGAAUCACAGAGUGGCCAAGAGUGAGGACGUUGACACUACACAGACCUGGGGCAGACCCGGCCCUGCUGCUGAGUGGUUGACUGGCCCCAGUUUCUCCACCUGGGAAACAGGCGGCCUUCUCUCUCUCUACGUCAUCAAGUCAGUGCAGAGCGCAUGGAGCAGCAACGCCCUGCCCAGCUCUGGGCUGCCCGCUGCGUGCUGAGGAUCCAGAGACAAACCAGCCAUGCUCCUGGCUGAGCGGAAGGUCCUCCCGAGCCUGCACAGUCUGAACUUGCUGAGGUGAGCGCUCUCUGCAUUGAGAUGACAGGGAAGGAAGCACAGGCAUUUCUGGGGGAGUCACGGGGUCGGCCUUCGAGGCCUCUCAAAGUGCUGAGGCUUAAAUGACAGGGCAUGUGGAGCUGGAGCAGGAAGUGAAAGGCAGGGGUGGGCCUCCUUAAAGAAGAGCCCUGCGGCACUGCCAUCCAUCACCCACACCACCUUCAGCAUCACCUCCCCACUAGGCCCUACCCCACCACCCCAAGGCAGUGGGGAGCCAGGCCAGGGCUCAGCACAAGAGAGCCUGGCCUCUUGUCCUUUGAUUCUAUUAUCAGCAAAUGACCUUGGGAAAGUCAGUUGACCUCUCUAAGCUUUCGUUUUCUCAUAUGCAAAGAGAGAACAACACUUAGGCAGUGCAAUCAUAUAUACAGAAAGUACUUUGGAACAAGCAA